GAGCCGGGGAAGGAUGAGCUUAGAAGGCUGGAGGAACUGAGAAAAACUAUUUGUGCAGAAGAAAAAAGAGAUCGAGAGGCUUGCACAGGGGUCAAAAGAGCUGAAGGAGUCUUUGGAACUACAGAGCAAAAUAGAGAAUGCAGGUGGUGAAAAAUUGAAAAAACAGAAGUCGAGAGUUAACAAGAUUCAGUCUGAUAUUGAUCAAAGCAGUACGGAGAUCAACCGUCACAAUGUACUGAGGAGAAGCUACUUUCCACCUUCAAAGAGAUAGAACAGAAGGCUUUUACAGUUCAAGAGAAUUAUAAAAAAACACAGGAGCUAAUCGAUCAACACAAGGAUGUGCUGGAUAAAGCAAAAAAUGACUAUGAAGAGCUGAAGAAAACUGUGGAUGCGUUAAGGGCAUCUGAG